rnacentral:rRNA from 1 species
AUUGAACGCUGGCGGCAGGCCUAACACAUGCAAGUCGAGCGAGUGGCGGACGGGUGAGUAAUGUAUGGGGAACUGCCCGAUGGAGGGGGAUAACUACUGGAAACGGUAGCUAAUACCGCAUACCAUCGGAUGUGCCCAGAUGGGAUUAGCUAGUAGGUGAGGUACAGGCUCAACUAGGCGACGAUCCCUAGCUGGUCUGAGAGGAUGAUCAGCCACACUGGAACUGAGACACGGCCCAGACUCCUACGGGAGGCAGCAGUGGGGAAUAUUGCACAAUGGGCGCAAGCCUGAUGCAGCCAUGCCGCGUGUAUGAAGAAGGCCUUCGGGUUGUAAAGUACUUUCAGUCGGGAGGCGUUACCGACAGAAGAAGCACCGGCUAACUCCGUGCCAGCAGCCGCGGUAAUUC